GGAAAAGGCAUUGCAGACGCCUGUUAUUUCAAAGCUCUGUUUUAGUGGUCUGUUGCUACGACUGAGAAGCCCCGGGGAAGAAAGACUAAGUGGGUCUCCAAAAGAACCUUGAGUGAGUGAGAAGAGAGAAUUCCUCAACUUCUUAACAAGAUGACAAUAGGAAAGAGGUUGAGCAUGACAAGCAUGAGCAGACCAUUUAUAGGCUUCCCACGAUUUGACAACUUUGCUGUUGGUAGUCGGCAAGAAAUCAAAUGGGAAAUCUCCACUACUUCCAAAAGCAAAUGCCCUACCGCCCACGGUGAGGUGAACCCUCCUUAGACUCUAAAAAAAGAAAGACUGUUUUUUGAAAGACUGAGAGUGUGAAUUACCUCAGCAUGCCAUUGCUACUCACUCCCACUGGGCCCAUCAGCCCCAUCUGCUGUUUGGAUAACCUCUUGCCCUUUUCUACCCAAGAGUCUGUUCUGGCCACCAGAGCUCACCUAUGAUGUCUAACCAGGAUCAGGACAGUAUACUCUCUUCAGGUGCUGUUUUUCAG
ensembl:lncRNA